CCCGGCGCCCCGCCCCCUGACGUCACGGCGUCGACCGGCUUGUCCCCGCGCCCCGCCGAAGGUGUUGUACGCGGGGAGGGAAGCGGUAAUCGGGUCGCCGGGCUUCGGGCUCGGUUCCAGGAACCUCUGUACCGCUGUGCUUAGAAACCAGCACUGAGUCGGCUCUCGCUCCUCCCCGACUGCUGAUCUAGGUAGUGUUUUCCCACCUCCGCCCGCUCCUCUGCCUGCUGCGCCUGAGUUAACUGCCUUCCGGACCCUUUGAGGCCGCCGGACCCUCUGAACCAGAGGACGUCCCCAAAGCUAGUCUUUUGUACUCUCCUCUCCUGCAAGAGGCUCACAACGGCCUCUAUAAGAGCCUGUGUUCAUUUUCUGUUGCUGUAAAAUUUCCUGAGGAACUGAGGCCCUCGGUCCAACAGUCCAUGGGGAACUGAAUUGUGCCAACCACCAUGUGAAUGAGCUUGGCGUCAGACCCACCCCUGUGGAGCCUCAAGAUACCCACAGCCCGAGCAAAACCCUGAGCUGGGACCCGGGAAGCGGCACCCAGAUUUCGGACUUGCAGACACUGUGAGUCCUGCCCCUCUCGCUCCGUUCCACCCAUGUCCAGCAGGAGCACCCGUGGCAAACACAGGCAUUUGCAAGAUUGACAAGGGCAGAGUCGUCCUGCAAUGAAAGAUCAUCCCCAGCUCCCGCAGGCCCGCUGGGGCUCACCUGCCCCAUCGCCACAGCCAUGAAAACGGCCCGGAAGUUGCUCAGGUCCGCGGCCUGCAGCUCCGCCACGAUGCCGGCAUCCAGCAGCACCAGGCGCAGAGGGCAGCGGGCGGGGGUCAUGGCCACCACCAGCGUGUCGCAGACAUCCAUCUGCUGCAGCGGUGCCUCUCGACUCUUGGAAGGACCGUCGGCACCCUGGACCAGGAUGUUCCCUGGGUGGAGGUCUGCAUGGACAAAGUUGUCCACAAAUAUCUGGAAGGAGAUCGGUGCUAUUCAAGGCAGAGGCAACCCUCACCACCCCAGCGGCACCAGGCCAUUUGCAGAAAAGCUUCCAAGGUGACAACGGAAGCCUCCAGGUGAAGCGGAGAUGGACCAGCCCUGAGUAGAAGACACAGCCCCAGGAAGCAAGCUCUCACUUACUUCGCGCCUGGGAGUCACUGCACAUUCCUUCUUCUCUCGUGGCCUCCACACAGUGGGCCACUAACAGUGGAUCUCCGAUCUCAGCACGUUCAGAUCCAUUUCCCCGCUCUACCCAUCUGCGGGUCCCAAGCUGACUGGCAACCAGUCACCAGACACCGGCCGUAACAGAGGCACCUGAGUGGGGCUCCCUGACUCCUGCCAUCCCUCUCUCUAACCCUUCUGUGGGGUGCCUCCCUACUACCUGCGGGACGAAGUCUAAAUUCUUGAGGAUGACAUCCAAGGCAGCUGUCUCUUCAGACCCAUCUCUUGUGCCUCCCGUGUCCUCUCCGGCCCUGAACUCUAGCUUCCCCCAGUCCGUAUGGCGCUUGACAUCCCAUCCUACCUGAGCCUCCCCCUCUCUCCUUUGCCUUCCUUAUUCCCUCUAACGGGAAUGUUCUUCCCUAUUUGGUCCAACUGUAAACACCUCCCAAGACAGCCUGAGUCUGGGGAGGAGCCUUGACC